rnacentral:rRNA from 1 species
UACGGAAGGCAGCAGUGGGGAAUAUUGCACAAUGGGCGCAAGCCUGAUGCAGCCAUGCCGCGUGUAUGAAGAAGGCCUUCGGGUUGUAAAGUACUUUCAGUCGUGAGGAAGGUGUUAAGGUUAAUAACCUUAGCAAUUGACGUUAGCGACAGAAGAAGCACCGGCUAACUCCGUGCCAGCAGCCGCGGUAAUACGGAGGGUGCGAGCGUUAAUCGGAAUUACUGGGCGUAAAGGGCACGCAGGCGGUUAAUUAAGUUGGAUGUGAAAUCCCCGGGCUUAACCUGGGAAUGGCAUUCAAGACUGGUUAGCUAGAGUCUUGUAGAGGGGGUAGAAUUCCAUGUGUAGCGGUGAAAUGCGUAGAGAUGUGGAGGAAUACCGGUGGCGAAGCGGCCCCUGGACAAAGACUGACGCUCAUGUGCGAAAGCGUGGGGAGCAAACGAGGGAUUAGAUACC